GACGAACGCUGGCGGCGUGCUUAACACAUGCAAGUCGAACGAUGAAGCCGGAGCUUGCUCUGGUGAAUUAGUGGCGAACGGGUGAGUAACACGUGAGUAACCUGCCCUUGACUCUGGGAUAACUGCGGGAAACUGUAGCUAAUACCGGAUACGACCCUCGGAGGCAUCUCCUGGGGGUGGAAAGAAUUUCGGUCAAGGAUGGACUCGCGGCCUAUCAGCUAGUUGGUGAGGUAAAGGCUCACCAAGGCGACGACGGGUAGCCGGCCUGAGAGGGUGAGCGGCCACACUGGGACUGAGACACGGCCCAGACUCCUGCGGGAGGCAGGAGUGGGGAAUAUUGCACAAUGGGCGCAAGCCUGAUGCAGCAACGCCGCGUGGGGGAUGACGGCCUUCGGGUUGUAAACCUCUUUUAGUAGGGAAGAAGCGAAAGUGACGGUACCUGCAGAAAAAGCACCGGCUAACUACGUGCCAGCCGCCGCCGUAA
rnacentral:rRNA from 1 species